rnacentral:rRNA from 1 species
GGUAGCUAAUACCGCAUAACGUCGCAAGACCAAAGAGGGGGACCUUCGGGCCUCUUGCCAUCGGAUGUGCCCAGAUGGGAUUAGCUAGUAGGUGGGGUAACGGCUCACCUAGGCGACGAUCCCUAGCUGGUCUGAGAGGAUGACCAGCCACACUGGAACUGAGACACGGUCCAGACUCCUACGGGAGGCAGCAGUGGGGAAUAUUGCACAAUGGGCGCAAGCCUGAUGCAGCCAUGCCGCGUGUAUGAAGAAGGCCUUCGGGUUGUAAAGUACUUUCAGCGGGGAGGAAGGUGUUGAGGUUAAUAACCUCAGCAAUUGACGUUACCCGCAGAAGAAGCACCGGCUAACUCCGUGCCAGCAGCCGCGGUAAUACGGAGGGUGCAAGCGUUAAUCGGAAUUACUGGGCGUAAAGCGCACGCAGGCGGUCUGUCAAGUCGGAUGUGAAAUCCCCGGGCUCAACCUGGGAACUGCAUUCGAAACUGGCAGGCUAGAGUCUUGUAGAGGGGGGUAGAAUUCCAGGUGUAGCGGUGAAAUGCGUAGAGAUCUGGGA